rnacentral:rRNA from 1 species
AAACCUGGCGGCCUCUUACUCAUGCAGUCGAACGAACCUCGGGUUAGUGGCGGACGGGUGAGUACAGAAUCUGCCCUCAGGAGGGGGACAACAGCUGGAAACGGCUGCUAAUACCCCAUAUGCCGCGAGGUGAAAUGAAUUUCGCCUGAGGAUGAGCUCGCGUCUGAUUAGCUAGUUGGUGUAAGUAAUGGCUCACCAAGGCAUCGAUCAGUAGCUGGUCUGAGAGGAUAUCAGCCACCGGGACUGAGACACGGACCGACUCCUACGGACGCAGCAGUGGGGAAUUUCCCAAGGGCGAAAGCCUGACGGACCACCCCGUAGGACUAAGGUCUGGGCUGUA